UACGGGGGGGCAAGCGUUGUUCGGAAUUACUGGGCGUAAAGGGCUCGUAGGUGGCCAACUAAGUCGGACGUGAAAUCCCUCAGCUUAACUGGGGAACUGCGUCCGAUACUGGAUGGCUUGAGUUUGGGAGAGGGAUGCGGAAUUCCAGGUGUAGCGGUGAAAUGCGCAGAUAUCAGGAGGAACACCGGUGGCGAAGGCGGUUCUCUGGGCCUUACCUGACGCUGAGGAGCGAAAGCAUGGGGAGCAAACAGG
rnacentral:rRNA from 1 species